rnacentral:rRNA from 1 species
GACGAACGCUGGCGGCGUGCCUAAUACAUGCAAGUAGAACGCUGAAGCUUGGUGCUUGCACCGAGCGGAUGAGUUGCGAACGGGUGAGUAACGCGUAGGUAACCUGCCUGGUAGCGGGGGAUAACUAUUGGAAACGAUAGCUAAUACCGCAUAAAAUGGAUUAUCGCAUGAUAAUCCAUUGAAAGGUGCAAAUGCAUCACUACCAGAUGGACCUGCGUUGUAUUAGCUAGUUGGUGGGGUAACGGCUCACCAAGGCGACGAUACAUAGCCGACCUGAGAGGGUGAUCGGCCACACUGGGACUGAGACACGGCCCAGACUCCUACGGGAGGCAGCAGUAGGGAAUCUUCGGCAAUGGACGGAAGUCUGACCGAGCAACGCGGCGUGAGUGAAGAAGGUUUUCGGAUCGUAAAGCUCUGUUGUAAGAGAAGAACGAGUGUGAGAGGGAAAGUUCACAC